CCAUGCUUCAUUGUGGUUCGAUACCGAGGCCUCACCACAAAGGUCCAGGAGGAUUUAGUCUGAUCCCAGUGUUCCAUUACCCUGCGAGAAGCUUCGUGAAGCCCCGUGGUUCAUCCUGCAGGUUCAGAGCGGAGUCCAUUUACAUCAAACGCUUCAUAAACUCCUACAAAUCGCGCGUGGUGUCCCGUGGUGCGUCUCGCCGUUCAUUCAAGGUUUCACUCGAUGGUUCACGGCAGCUCACCAGGGACCAUAUUCUGAAACACUUCGCGCUGCACCUUCACUGCACUCACAGGCCUUGUGAUGUUAAAGUGACAUGUAUUUCAUGUUCCUGGUGGUAUAUAAAGAACGCCUCUACAAUAUAAACGAGAGAGACACUUGGGAACCCGACAAACCACUGUGGCCUUAAGAAACAGUCGUGGUGGGAGUGCAAAGCGUUCCAGCACAAAUCUUUCCCGGCACCGUUGAAACAUCCAGGAACGCGUAAUACGAGUACAACUAACCACCACCAGGCAUCAUAAGGCGCGUGUUGGAGGCGGUGGUGUAGGAACUCACUCACGCUGGUAGGCAGGAAGGGGAUGAUGUAUGCAUGGUGUGUCUGAGGUAACGCCAGGAUUACAUAGACUAGAGGACGUGUCUAAAUGGGACCAUGUGUCGUAUGUAUAGCCACAUAUGUCCAGGGAAAUCCUUUGUGUGUGUGUGUGUGUGUGUGUGUGUGUGUGUGUGUGUGUGAAGGGUUAUGUAUGCACUUGUCUCAUGUAACCUUGUAUAUGAGCGUUUUGCUUUCAUUGCUUGAGAGAGAGAGAGAGAGAGAGAGAGAGAGAGAGAGAGAGAGAGCUUGAUCCCUUCAGGCUCUUGAUAUGUAUAAUAAUGUCAAUACCUAACAAGACAAUAUAUUAAUGAUGCAUUUCUUUCCCAGGAAAUAUUUAAAUUUCAUCUCUUUAGAAAUUUGAAAUAUAUGAAACAUACAUUUUUACAUUAUUAUAUGAAGGUAAUGUCAAUAUACAACUAAAAAGUGUUAUGAAUGAUGAUGUGUGCAAAUAGACAUGUUUUGAAUAAUAAAUGUUGUAUGUAGGUCUGA